CGCGCCUCCCGGAAGGGAGAAAAGCCCGCCCGAGGCGCGGUGCUGACGGUGGCUGGGCUGCCGGGUGCGCUGUGGAACCGCCUCCUGCUAGAGCAGCGGGCUGGCGACGGUCCUCGCCGGGGCGGGAAGCGGCUCAGGCUGCCCUCGCUGGCCUGCGGCGGCGCGGCUGGAAGCGCGGGCCACUCGUGCGUGGGUCACUCAGGACUGCGCCUCGCGCGACUGUGUGUGCAGGAAACAAGCAGGAAAUACCCUAAAAGAGAAUGAAGCGCCAUGUUGAGGGUCGCGGACGUCGCGAGUGCUGUGGGAAUGUGGGCUGAGGUGGAGAGUUAUGGUAGCCCGUGUUACAGGCUCAGGGGUCUGAAAGAAGCCUAAUCGUGGAGGCGGCAUCUGAGGAGGGUCUUGAAGGCUGGGCAGGCAUUUGCCCGACAGAGAUGGAGGAAGCUAGUCCUGUCUGAUGGAGGAAACAGGGCGGAGGCGUGGAGGGAGCCGUGCAGCGCUGGUGUGAGGAGCAGCGAGCAGGCCAGGCCUGUAAAGCAGAGUGAGGGAACCAGGAUAGAGAAGGCAAGUCGGGGUCCUGUGGUCGCUGAAGAAUUUGAAUGAAAUCAGUAAACAGGUGAGAGGGAUCCAUCGCAAGAGCAUGGGAUGAAAGGAGGAGUAGUCCACGGUGAUUCCUCUGCAGCGGUGGGUGUUAUUAAUCGCGUAUGUGACACCAAAACCACCCCACUCAAGCUGUGGCUCUUUCCCUAAAGUAGAAAACCGAGACCAGUUGGGUUCCAAGCAUCCACGAAGAUCUUAUUAAAUUCGUGAUCCCUGGUGGCACCAUGGAGUCAGGAUUGGCUCAUCUCAAACCUGACUCAGAAACAAAACCGUCACAAUGUGCAGAGAUGAGCGUCCUUACCGCUAUCAACGUAUUUUCUGGUGUUUUCACAGUGCUGCGCUUCCUAAUCCCCAUUCCAUGGCAAUCCACAUGCCAUGAUGCCCGGAGUCAUUAACAAAGGAGACACACAGGGGCUCCUCACGUUGGCUUUCCAGGGUUUUGAUGAAAAUCUGUUUCCUCGUCUCAUACAAUGUGGCUGUACAGGAAGCAUGGUGAUGGCAUCUGCAUGGCGCCUGUGGAGGCCCCAGGGAGCUUUUACUCAUGAUGGAAGGCACAGAGGGAGUAGGCACAUCACAUGGUCCGAGGAGGAGCAAGAGAAAAUGGGAGUGGGGCUCUUUGUCCUGGGAAGAGUUUGCUGCAUCUUCCAGUUUCAGUAAUCAAAGAAGCAAAGUUCCCUGCAGUUCUUCAAGGAACCUUGAGAAUUCAGAAGGUCUUGGGGUGGCUGCAUCCAUCCUGCAGACAAAUGCCAAUCAGCAGAGGGGCCAUUCCCAGGGACACAUGUCUGGCUGACUUGGGCCUUGGCCAGGCUGCAACUCUCCUGUUACUCUGGGGGAAAGCUUAACAACUAAGAUUCAGAGCAAAGGAAGACGAUGCCGGCAGCAGGCUUUGGGUGCUUGUGGGGCAGCAGGUUGUACCAGGGGCAGGUGCAGACCCCUGCCUCCCUUGCCUUCACCACAGUCACAACAGGCCAGGCCAGCCCAUCCAUCAUGUCUCUAGGAUAUCUCAGGGGUUCAAGGCCACCACACCAUUUGCAGCACACUCCACUCGCUGAUCUGUGAUAUGGGAGAUGUGCUUAUUGGCGAAUAAAUCACCAUGUCAAGUUAACGGCCUGUGUCCAAGGCGAGUGACUUCGAGGUCAGCAUAGCAGCAUACCAUUGGAUGCAGCGGGUUCUGCUUCUGCGCACAGUGCCUCAUCAGAACAUAAAUUUUCAAAUACCAGAUGUGAUAAAAGACAACAUCGAGCUUUCUGUUUUUUGAAGGAGAGGAGAAGGAGAUCCUGGAUACAUUCUCUGAAAGGUGCCUCCACUUCAUCACUGAUCCCGACACGUGGGAGGAAGGAGAGGAGGACAGUGAAGACCAUCAGCAAGGGAGAGCAGGUUCCCUGCCCUGGAUCCCUGCCCUGGUCCCCUGCCCUGAUUCCCUGCCCCAUGUUGUAGGUCUUUGGGCUACAUUUCUACCCAUUGGCUGAACAUAAAAACUGUCCUAUGAACUAUUUGGCAGCAAGUUCACAGCAAAGAAUAUUAACUCUGUGAGGCACCUUAGACAAUGCCUGGCUUAACCCCCACUUGACAAAUAAAGACACAUGUUCUGACUCACCCACCAUCCCAGGAGCAACUGACCAGGCUGAGGAACUCUGUCCACUGCCUGCAGCCCACUUGGCCUUCCACUGUGACGUCCAGGCUGAGGAACUGUGUCUGCCACCUGCAGCCCACUUGGCCUUCCACUGUGAUGUCCUUUCCAGGACUCUGAGCAGAGAUGGGUUUAUAACAAGCAUAAAUUGUUAUUUUGUAUCGAUCUGCACAUCAAUUUAUAUAUUUUGAAAAUUAAAAGAAAUCCAAUGAUAAGAAUUUUUCUCACAAGUUAAUUAAGGAAACUAGGUCAAUGGAAAUUUCUUAGGUUAUGAAAAUAUUGAUGUGAAUAUGUUAUGUGAGAAUCAUUUCAAAAUGAGUUAAAGGGGCUGGGCACAGUGGUUCACACCUGUAAUCCCAGCACUUUGGGAGGCCAAGGUGGGUGGAUCAUGAGGUCAAGACAUUGAGACCAUCCUGGCCAACAUGGUGAAACCCUGUCUCUACUAAAAAUACAAAAAUUAGCCAGGCAUGGUGGCACAUGCCUGUAGUCCCAGCUACUCAGGAGGCUGAGGCGGGAGAAUAGCUUGAACCUGGGAGGUGGAGGUUGCUGUCACGCGACUGCACUCCAGCCUGGUGAGAGAGCAAGAGAGCAAGACUCCGUCUCAAAAAAAAAAAAAAAAAAAAAAACAAACCAGGAGUUACAGGAAUCUAGGAUAUUUUGCUUUCUGUCCCUAAACUUUGGGGCUUAAUUUGGCAGAAACUUGGGAGUGGGAGGGUGAAGUUUGUGGCGUCCUGCUUGCCUUGAAUUUGUGGUGGCCACAGAAUGCAGGCUUGACUUCAUGCAGGUUCUCAUACAUCAUUAUGGAGAACAUCUUUUUGUAUUUACUUCAAUAUUUAUUUUGUAGUGAAAAUAAAAGCAAUACCAGUUUUCUGAAGGGUUUCUUAAAUCAAUUCCUUUGUGUCCUAUAGGGCAAUACUUUGCUCCUAGAGAAGUCUGUGAACCAUUGGUGUCUUUGAUUUGUCUCAUUAGAACGCCCACCCUCAU
rnacentral:lncRNA from 10 species